rnacentral:rRNA from 1 species
AGUAAUACAGUUAACACAUUAAGUGUACCGCCUGGGGAGUACGGUCGCAAGAUUAAAACUCAAAGGAAUAGACGGGGACCCGCACAAGCGGUGGAGCAUGUGGUUUAAUUCGAAGAUACGCGAAAAACCUUACCUGGCCUUGACAUUGAUAGAAUCCUGUAGAGAUACGGGAGUGCCGGCUUGCCGGAACUUGAAAACAGGUGCUGCACGGCUGUCGUCAGCUCGUGUCGUGAGAUGUUGGGUUAAGUCCCGCAACGAGCGCAACCCACGUCCUUAGUUGCCAGCAUUUCGGAUGGGAACUCUAAGGAGACUGCCUUCGCAAGGAGGAGGAAGGUGUGGACGACGUCAAGUCAUCAUGGCCCUUACGGCCAGGGCUACACACGUGCUACAAUGGGGCGUACAAAGAGCAGCAAUACCGCGAGGUGGAGCAAAUCUCAAAAACGCCUCCCAGUUCAGAUUGCACUCUGCAACUCGAGUGCAUGAAGUUGGAAUCGCUAGUAAUCGUAGAUCAGCAUUGCUACGGUGAAUACGUUCCCGGGUCUUGUACUCACCGCCCGUCACACCAUGGGAGUUGAUUUCACCCGAAGCGGGGAUGNUAAAGUAGCUACCUUUCAC